rnacentral:rRNA from 1 species
AUGGUACAACAGAUGAGAAGGAAGCAACAAUCAUCUAGGAGACCUGGACUUUCUCUGCAACCCAUGCCUGAAUCAAGCUUCGUCAGCUCAGCAAGAGCUCAGAGCAGUAGCAUGCCACAUGUUACUACAACUGCUAGCAGGGAUGGUAGUCAAGCCAUGAAGCUUAGGCAGAUGAAGAUGGAGAAAGACAGAGAAAUGGCAGAGAAGAGAGAUGCUGCACUGGAGGCACUAAAUGCUGCAGCAGAGAAGAGAGCUGCUGAGGCACAAGAGAAGAGAGACCUGGCUGCAAAGAAGAAAGCAAUAGAAAGAGAAGCAAAGAAGCAUGAAACACAAGAGAAAAGAGCUGCUAAUGUUGCAAAGAAGAAGGAAAUAGCUGAAGCAAAGAGAGCAAUUGUCCUACAACAAAGAGAGAAGAAAACAGCAGAGCUGGCAGCUGCUAGAGAGGAGGCAAGGAAGAGAAAAGCUGCUGAGCUUGCUGCCAAAAGAAAGGAAGAUCAGCACAACAGGUCCAGGCUUAAGAGGGCCUCUACAAGUGCACAUGACAUGGGAGGUGGCUCUACAAGCAAGAAAACCAGGAAGGUCAGCAUGUUUGAUGAACUGAGAGAGCCUAGGAAGUAG